AUUAAUAAUAGAGUCGGAGAAUAGAGUUUGUGACGCGUAAUUGGGCGAAGGUUUGUUUAUCUAAUGCGAGCGGUGAAGUUAAAUAAAAAACAUCCUUUUGGGUGGCGAACGAACGAGCUUUGAGUUCCCCAAAGUCGCAUUCCAUAUUCUUCUUCGUUGCGUCACUUUGCUUUUCUUAUCCACACACAACCAUCCUUUUUCUUAACGCAACCUAACGGAAUAGGGUAUGCAUCAUCUCUCUCUCUCUCUCUCUCUCUCUUGAUUAAUAAAUCAGAUCUGUGCCUCUUUUCUAAUUAAUUACUAUUCUCACUAAUCUGAUUUCAUUGAACCUUCUCUAGGUAUACCUUUAUUAUUCAUCUCUAAUCACUCUAUUCUUUUCAUUCUCAUUUGUUUUUCUUUAUUUUUUAUUUUAUUUUAUUUACUAUUCCAGAGCCACAGAUCGGAUCAAUUGCAACAAAGAUAAUGCGUGUUUUUUUUUUUUUUAUCAUCGAAUUCUUGCAAUUUUAUUACAUGAUUUCUUGUGAUUUUUUAGCUGCUGAUUUAUUAUGAAUUAUGUGCUUCUUGCAUUUAGAGAAGAAGAAAAAAAAUAAGGAAAAGUUUAUUUUGUCCAUCGAUUAUAAGAUCCUCGUUUCUUGUUUCUUAAAACAUUAGUAGCUCAUGUUGGAGUUAAAGGAAUUUUGCAGAAAUUGUGAUAUAAUAAAGCUGUAAUUGUGGUUUCAGAAACGUUAAAAAAACUUAGCAUUUCAGUCACAAUUGUUGUUGCGGACAACCUCUUUAUUCAAAUGAAAUAUGGAUUGUUAUCUGGUUUUCUAGAGGUUGUUUGGUUAAAUCAUAUUUCUCUGGGUUUUGCAAUUUGCAUGUUUGAAUGUGUACUUAUGGUUUGAUUUAUUCCUUAUGUCAAUUAGUUAUUAUCAAUAUGUUCCAUUGCAGAAAAUAAGGGUGUUUAAAUUUCGCUAAACUAUAGUGCUAUUGCAUUGCUCUAGCCCUAAUUGGACAAUACUUUGUAAUAAAUCGCGUAUGGUAGAACAAUAACGGGAUGUUCAAAUUCUGCCAUGCCAAAACGCCGUAACAAACUUACAGCAAUUAUUUGACAACACUGAUUAUUAAUUUUCAUUCUCACCAAGUAAUUGCGAUUCAUUUGGGCAUUAAAAGUCAACUGUUAAAAUAAUUGAUGUCAAAACUCUAUAUAGUGUUUUCUGUUAAGUAAAAAAACUUGCUCUGAUGUGUGUGUGGUUAUGUAGAAAGAGGUUGAUAAGCGUGAUAUGUCACAUUUUAAGUUUUUCAUAUAAUUUUCAUAGAAUCAUAUCUUAACUAUUGUUUAUUGCAUGGUUUGCAGCUUCGGGUGGACAUAAGAAGGUUAUUGUAGAAGUCAUGGUUCUUGACACCAUUCUGUCGUCUUCUCCUCGAUUGAAGUCUCCAUCUUUCAGGAGACAAUUUGCUAAGGAUGGACUUGGUAGUUGGUCGACACUCUUCCAGAGGCAUCGCUUCCUCUUAUUCGCUCUUGUGCUCCUUACAAUCCUCUGUACUGUUUAUCUUUACUUUGCUAUCACUUUAGGGUCCAGUGGCUCUUGUUCUGGGUUGAUUGGAGCACAGAAAGCUUCAUGCCACAUGGAGCUUGUCAAGGAUUCUAUUUCCAAGGGCAAACUGAAAAUUCUUUGAUAUUUCAAAUAUAAUUAUUGAAAUUUUUGUUGCUAAUCCCCCCACCCUCAAGUAUAGGUGACAUGAAAUCCAAAUACCGUCUUCGGUUACAAUAUUUGUGUCAUAUGUAUACAGAGUUUAUCUCAGUAAUUUUUAAUGUAUGAUACGGGCAGGAAGCCAUUUCUUAGAUACAUUAUAUGUUAAUUUUGAUGACUGGUUUCUUCUUCGUUGCGUCACUUUGCUUUUCUUAUCCACACACAACCAUCCUUUUUCUUAACGCAACCUAACGGAAUAGGGUAUGCAUCAUCUCUCUCUCUCUCUCUCUCUCUCUUGAUUAAUAAAUCAGAUCUGUGCCUCUUUUCUAAUUAAUUACUAUUCUCACUAAUCUGAUUUCAUUGAACCUUCUCUAGGUAUACCUUUAUUAUUCAUCUCUAAUCACUCUAUUCUUUUCAUUCUCAUUUGUUUUUCUUUAUUUUUUAUUUUAUUUUAUUUACUAUUCCAGAGCCACAGAUCGGAUCAAUUGCAACAAAGAUAAUGCGUGUUUUUUUUUUUUUUAUCAUCGAAUUCUUGCAAUUUUAUUACAUGAUUUCUUGUGAUUUUUUAGCUGCUGAUUUAUUAUGAAUUAUGUGCUUCUUGCAUUUAGAGAAGAAGAAAAAAAAUAAGGAAAAGUUUAUUUUGUCCAUCGAUUAUAAGAUCCUCGUUUCUUGUUUCUUAAAACAUUAGUAGCUCAUGUUGGAGUUAAAGGAAUUUUGCAGAAAUUGUGAUAUAAUAAAGCUGUAAUUGUGGUUUCAGAAACGUUAAAAAAACUUAGCAUUUCAGUCACAAUUGUUGUUGCGGACAACCUCUUUAUUCAAAUGAAAUAUGGAUUGUUAUCUGGUUUUCUAGAGGUUGUUUGGUUAAAUCAUAUUUCUCUGGGUUUUGCAAUUUGCAUGUUUGAAUGUGUACUUAUGGUUUGAUUUAUUCCUUAUGUCAAUUAGUUAUUAUCAAUAUGUUCCAUUGCAGAAAAUAAGGGUGUUUAAAUUUCGCUAAACUAUAGUGCUAUUGCAUUGCUCUAGCCCUAAUUGGACAAUACUUUGUAAUAAAUCGCGUAUGGUAGAACAAUAACGGGAUGUUCAAAUUCUGCCAUGCCAAAACGCCGUAACAAACUUACAGCAAUUAUUUGACAACACUGAUUAUUAAUUUUCAUUCUCACCAAGUAAUUGCGAUUCAUUUGGGCAUUAAAAGUCAACUGUUAAAAUAAUUGAUGUCAAAACUCUAUAUAGUGUUUUCUGUUAAGUAAAAAAACUUGCUCUGAUGUGUGUGUGGUUAUGUAGAAAGAGGUUGAUAAGCGUGAUAUGUCACAUUUUAAGUUUUUCAUAUAAUUUUCAUAGAAUCAUAUCUUAACUAUUGUUUAUUG
rnacentral:lncRNA from 1 species